UACGUAGGGGGCGAGCGUUGUCCGGAUUUAUUGGGCGUAAAGAGCUCGUAGGCGGUUCGAUAAGUCAGGUGUAAAAACUCCAGGCUCAACUUGGAGAGGCCACCUGAUACUGUCGUGACUAGAGUCCGGUAGAGGAGCACGGAAUUCCUGGUGUAGCGGUGAAAUGCGCAGAUAUCAGGAGGAACACCAGCGGCGAAGGCGGUGCUCUGGGCCGGAACUGACGCUGAGGAGCGAAAGCGUGGGGAGCGAACCGG
rnacentral:rRNA from 1 species